rnacentral:rRNA from 1 species
GAUGAACGCUGGCGGCGUGCCUAAUACAUGCAAGUCGAGCGAACAGACGAGGAGCUUGCUCCUUCGACGUUAGCGGCGGACGGGUGAGUAACACGUAGGUAACCUACCUAUAAGACUGGGAUAACUUCGGGAAACCGGAUCUAAUACCGGAUAAUAUUUCGAACCGCAUGGUUCGAUAGUGAAAGAGGUCUUUGCUAUCACUUAUAGAUGGACCUGCGCCGUAUUAGCUAGUUGGUAAGGUAACGGCUUACCAAGGCAACGAUACGUAGCCGACCUGAGAGGGUGAUCGGCCACACUGGAACUGAGACACGGUCCAGACUCCUACGGGAGGCAGCAGUAGGGAAUCUUCCGCAAUGGGCGAAAGCCUGACGGAGCAACGCCGCGUGAGUGAUGAAGGUCUUCGGAUCGUAAAACUCUGUUAUUAGGGAAGAACAAACGUGUAAGUAACUGUGCACGUCUUGACGGUACCUAAUCAGAAAGCCACGGCUAACUACGUG